rnacentral:rRNA from 1 species
UACGUAGGGUGCGAGCGUUAAUCGGAAUUACUGGGCGUAAAGGGUGCGCAGGCGGUUCUGCAAGUCAGGCGUGAAAGCCCCGGGCUUAACCUGGGAAUGGCGCUUGAAACUACAGGACUGGAGUAUGGCAGAGGGAGGUGGAAUUCCACGUGUAGCGGUGAAAUGCGUAGAGAUGUGGAGGAACACCGGCGGCGAAGGCGGCCCUCUGGCUCGUUGCUGACGCUGAAACGCGAAAGCGUGGGGAGCAAACAGG